AGUCCUUAACCUCUGGACGGACAUCCAGCAAAAAAUCCUAUCACCAUUAGCAUAACGAAAUGUAAUAUAUAUAUUUUUUCAAAUAUAGGACUAUGUUAUAUCGUUUUAUAGAUACACCUCUCCUGAAUCGAACCACGUUGUCCGAUUUCAAAAAGGCUUUACAGCAAAAGCAAAACAUUAGAUUAUGUUAGAGGAGUAUAUCGUAAAAGUAGCCACAUAGCCAUUUUCCGACCAACCACAUGCAUCACAAAUAACCAAAAAACAGCUAAAUGCAGCACUAACCUUUGACAAUCUUCAUCAGAUGA